rnacentral:tRNA from 1 species
GCCCCUGUAGCUUAACUGGAUAGAGCACAUCGCUUCGGACGAUGGGGUUGGGGGUUCAAAUCCCUCCAGGGGCG